rnacentral:RNase_P_RNA from 1 species
AGUCGGCCAGGUGAUCGCGGCUGUACAGACGAAAGGGUACAGACGAGGAAAGUCCGGGCUUCGCAGGGCAGGAUGCCGGAUAACGUCCGGUGGAGGUGACUCCCAGACCAGUGCAACAGAAAUAAACCGCCUUCUUUUAGAAGGUAAGGGUGGAAAGGCAGUGUAAGAGACUACCGCCUUUCUGGUAACAGAAAGGGCACAUGUAAACUCCAUUCGAAGCAAGACCGAGAAGAAAGCAAUACGGCUGCCCGUCGUGCUUUCAGGUGGGUCGCUUGAGCCUCCCGGUGACGGAAGGCCUAGAUAGAUGAUCACCCAAUGACAUAACCCGGCUUAUCGGUUGGCUUG